rnacentral:rRNA from 1 species
GACGAACGCUGGCGGCGUGCUUAACACAUGCAAGUCGAACGAUGAACCACUUCGGUGGGGAUUAGUGGCGAACGGGUGAGUAACACGCGGGCAAUCUGCCCUGCACUCUGGGACAAGCCCUGGAAACGGGGUCUAAUACCGGAUAAUACUCCCGCACUCAUGUGUGGGGGUUAAAAGCUCCGGCGGUGCAGGAUGAGCCCGCGGCCUAUCAGCUUG